UACGAAGGGGGCUAGCGUUGCUCGGAAUCACUGGGCGUAAAGGGUGCGUAGGCGGGUCUUUAAGUCAGGGGUGAAAUCCUGGAGCUCAACUCCAGAACUGCCUUUGAUACUGAGGAUCUUGAGUUCGGGAGAGGUGAGUGGAACUGCGAGUGUAGAGGUGAAAUUCGUAGAUAUUCGCAAGAACACCAGUGGCGAAGGCGGCUCACUGGCCCGGUACUGACGCUGAGGUGCGAAAGCGUGGGGAGCAAGCAGG
rnacentral:rRNA from 1 species